GAUGAACGCUGGCGGCAUGCCUAAUACAUGCAAGUCGUGCGGAAACACUUCGGGUGUCGAGCGGCGGACGGGUGAGUAACGCGUUAGGAUCUGCCCCAAACUGAGGGAUAACCAGCCGAAAGGUUGGCUAAUACCGCAUGUGGUCUUCGGAUUAAAGCUUCGGCGGUUUGGGAGGAACUUGCGUCUGAUUAGUUAGUUGGUGAGGUAACGGCUUACCAAGACAACGAUCAGUAACUGGUCUGAGAGGAUGAUCAGUCACACUGGAACUGAGACACGGUCCAGACUCCUACGGGAGGCAGCAGUAGGGAAUUUUCCACAAUGGGGGCAACCCUGAUGGAGCAAUGCCGCGUGCAGGAUGAAUGCCUUCGGGUUGUAAACUGCUUUUAUAGGGGAAGAUUGUGACGGUACCCUACGAAUAAGGAUCGGCAAACUCCGUGCCAGCAGCCGCCGUAAAAC
rnacentral:rRNA from 1 species